rnacentral:lncRNA from 1 species
GGCUAGCCACAUCAGCAGCUGUUACUAGACUCUUCAAUGGCAGAACAUGAAGGAGAGGAACUGCAAAAACCCUCCCAGGUCUAAUUGACUUGGAUGCUUCCCACAACUUCAGAAUAGCAAAACCUCUGGUCUGCUCGUCAAGAGGAAANNAAGAUGACUUGUUAAAAUACAGGCACCAAUUUCUCUGCUUCUGGUGUUCACUAAAGCUCAGACACUGGGAUUUCAUUGCUGGGCAAAUCCAGGAACAUUGGUAAUUUUGUGGCUCAAGUAAGUACAAAAUGUCAUUAAACCAUUUAUACUGGUUUACUGGUUGGUUAGUACAUACAAAAUUGCUGUGAGUAGGUGGAGCUGUUAGCUAUAUAACAGGAUGACAGAUUCCUUUUUCAACCCUGUUACAGUACAGUAGAGACCAACACCCGAAGUGCUUCAUGUUAAGUCUUCUGAGCAGUGUGGACAACACAGAUCUUGGAUGAGCAAGUAGAAAUAGUUUGGUAAGUUGUUUAUCACUGAUAGUAAGGAACAGACUAUAUCCACUAUAUUAUUGAACAUGCAAUUUAUAGAUGUAUCAUGGGUUUUAGUAGUAUUUUGACUAAUUUUCAGUGUGCGUUUUUGUUUGCUGUGCAUGGUGAGAAUAUAUAAUGAGCAGGCAUGGAUCACUUUUUUAUAUACUUUUCAUCUUUCCUACUCUGAUAUAUGCACUACUUUGCCUAGAAUAUUUCUUCACAAUAUCCUACAUAGUGUUUCCUUUUUUCUUUAGCAGGAUAUACAGGGAGAAAGCCUAUAGUGAAGAAAAGACACUAAAUAUUGACAUGCCAUUGAAUCAAAAUAAUUCAGUAUCUAUACAACAUCAGUAUUGUAAUCAUAAUAAGACAUACAGAAAUAUUAAAAUUUUAAUUAAUCCAGUUGUAUCAUUAUUAUCCUUCAAACCCAAAUGGACCAGGUAUCACUGA